rnacentral:rRNA from 1 species
AUUGAACGCUGGCGGCAUGCCUUACACAUGCAAGUCGAACGGUAACAGGUCUUCGGAUGCUGACGAGUGGCGAACGGGUGAGUAAUACAUCGGAACGUGCCUAGUAGUGGGGGAUAACUACUCGAAAGAGUGGCUAAUACCGCAUGAGAUCUACGGAUGAGAGCAGGGGAUCGCAAGACCUUGUGCUACUAGAGCGGCCGAUGGCAGAUUAGGUAGUUGGUGGGAUAAAAGCUUACCAAGCCGAAGAUCUGUAGCUGGUCUGAGAGGACGAUCAGCCACACUGGGACUGGGACACGGCCCAGACUCCGACGGGAGGCAGCAGUGGGGAAUUUUGGACAAUGGGCGCAAGCCUGAUCCAGCAAUGCCGCGUGCAGGAUGAAGGCCUUCGGGUUGUAAACUGCUUUUGUACGGAACGAAAAGCCCUGGGUUAAUACCCUGGGGUCAUGACGGUACCGUAAGAAUAAGCACCGGCUAACUACGUGCCAGCCGCCGCAGUAA